GAUGAACGCUAGCUACAGGCUUAACACAUGCAAGUCGAGGGGAAACGGCAUCGAAAGCUUGCUUUUGAUGGGCGUCGACCGGCGCACGGGUGAGUAACGCGUAUCCAACCUGCCCAUCACUUGGGAAUAACCUUGCGAAAGUAAGACUAAUGCCCAAUGACAUCCCACGAAGGCAUCCGAAUGGGAUUAAAGAUUUAUCGGUGAUGGAUGGGGAUGCGUCUGAUUAGCUUGUUGGCGGGGUGACGGCCCACCAAGGCAACGAUCAGUAGGGGUUCUGAGAGGAAGGUCCCCCACAUUGGAACUGAGACACGGUCCAAACACCUACGGGAGGCAGCAGUGAGGAAUAUUGGUCAAGGGGCGAGAGCCUGAACCAGCCAAGUAGCGUGCAGGAUGACGGCCCUAUGGGUUGUAAACUGCUUUUAUAAGGGAAUAAAGUGGGUCACGUGUGACUUUUUGCAUGUACCUUAUGAAUAAGGACCGGCUAAUUCCGUG
rnacentral:rRNA from 1 species